rnacentral:lncRNA from 1 species
AUUAUGUCAUACUCAAAACAUUUCUGAUGAGAAGCCGUCUGAAUAUGAACUUGUGCUUCCUCCUUAGAUCUAAAUUCUUGGUUUAAAACCAAAUCCAUACCAUCAUCCCGAGUCUUAUAAACAACAGGUGUGACUUCAACUGAUGGUCUUACUUCUGUAUCUCCAAACACAUGCUCAUCUCUUUUGGUUAAAUUCUUAUGCAUCUCAACGUCUUCGUAGAAUGUGAGCACACCAUCAUUACCAUCUCUCUCAGUACCAUAUUCAUCAGUACCAUAUUCUUCACCACCCUCUGUAUCAAGAGCCUCUCUAUCAGUAGCCUCUCUAUCAGUAGCCUCUCUAUCGGAUAGACCGGCAUAGGCAUCAGUUUCAUC